rnacentral:rRNA from 1 species
GACGAACGCUGGCGGCGUGCUUAACACAUGCAAGUCGAACGGAAAGGCCCUGCUUUUGUGGGGUGCUCGAGUGGCGAACGGGUGAGUAACACGUGAGUAACCUGCCCUUGACUUUGUGAUAACUUCAGGAAACUGGGGCUAAUACCGGAUAGGAGCUCCUGCUGCAUGGUGGGGGUUGGAAAGUUUCGGCUGUUGGGGAUGGACUCGCGGCUUAUCAGCUUGUUGGUGGGGUAGUGGCGUACCAAGGCUUUGACGGGUAGCCGGCCUGAGCGGAUGACCAGCCGGCCUGGGAGUGAGACACGGCCCAGAGGCCUACGGAAAGCGGCAGUACGGAAACGGGAGCAAGGAGCGGGAGAUUGAGCAAGAUGGGCGGCGGGCUGAUGGAGGAACGUCGGGUGGUAGAUGACGGCUUUCGGGGUGGAAAACGCUUUCGCGUGUGACGAAGCGUGAGGACGGGUAAUGGGUAAAGAGGCACGGCUAAAUUAGGU